AGGCCAACAAUUUCCAGGUCAAGGAGAGAGGGGCAGGCUGACAAUGCCCCACAAAGUGAGGUGUUAUCCAUUCUUUCAAUAUUGUAAAGGUGCAACCUUCUCAAAAGAGUCCCUGCAGCACCACUAUCCCCACUCAAAGGGCUUAGGCAGGAUCUAGUGAGAAUAGAUGAUUCUUUCCCUUGUCUGGUCUUUUUGUCAUUCCAUGAAAAGUUAGAUACAUCUACAGAAUUCCUGAUGCUAUAAACUAAUGGCUGACAAGAUCCUGGUGACACCGUUGGACCUGGAACUAUACCAAGCUUAAG
rnacentral:misc_RNA from 1 species